AUGAACGCUAGCGGGAGCUUAAACAUGCAAGUCGAGGGGUAAAUGGUAGCAAUACUAAUGAGACCGGCGGACGGGUGCGUAAACGCGUAUGCCAACAUACCUUGUGCGAGGGGGAUAGCCCGUGGAAACGCGGAUUAAUAUUCCAUAGUCCAGCUAUAUCGCAUGGGUAUAGUUGGUAAAGAUUUAUCGGCACAAGUUUGGCAUGCGUCUGAUUAGCUUGUUGGUAGGGUAACGGCCUACCAAGGCUACGAUCAGUAGGGGUUCUGAGAGGAUUAACCCCCCACACUGGUACUGAGACACGGACCAGACUCCUACGGGAGGCAGCAGUGAGGAAUAUUGGACAAUGGAUGGAAAUCUGAUCCAGCCAUGCCGCGUGCAGGAAGACAGCCCUAUGGGUUGUAAACUGCUUUUAUAUGGGAGCAAUAAGGUCUACGUGUAGACUGAUGAGAGUACCAUAUGAAUAAGCAUCGGCUAACUCCGUG
rnacentral:rRNA from 1 species